UACGUAGGGGGCAAGCGUUGUCCGGAUUUAUUGGGCGUAAAGAGCGUGUAGGCGGCUAGGUAGGUCCGUUGUGAAAUCUCCACGCUCAACGUGGAGGGGCCACCCGAUACUGCCAUGACUGGAGUCCGGUAGAGGAGUGUGGAAUUCCCGGUGUAGCGGUGAAAUGCGCAGAUAUCAGGAAGAACACCCGUGGCUAAGGCGGCUCUCUAGUACGUGACUGACGCUGAGACGCGAAAGCGUGGGGAGCGAACAGG
rnacentral:rRNA from 1 species